GAUGAACGCUGGCGGCGUGCCUAAUACAUGCAAGUCGAGCGAACGGACGAGAAGCUUGCUUCUCUGAUGUUAGCGGCGGACGGGUGAGUAACACGUGGAUAACCUACCUAUAAGACUGGGAUAACUUCGGGAAACCGUAGCUAAUACCGAAUAAUAUUUUGAACCGCAUGGUUCAAAAGUUAAAGACGGUCUUGCUGUCACUUAUAGAUGGAUCCGCGCUGCAUUAGCUAGUUGGUAAGGUAACGGCUUACCAAGGCAACGAUGCAUAGCCGACCUGAGAGGGUGAUCGGCCACACUGGAACUGAGACACGGUCCAGACUCCUACGGGAGGCAGCAGUAGGGAAUCUUCCGCAAUGGGCGAAAGCCUGACGGAGCAACGCCGCGUGAGUGAUGAAGGUCUUCGGAUCGUAAAACUCUGUUAUUAGGGAAGAACAUAUGUGUAAGUAACUGUGCACAUCUUGACGGUACCUAAUCAGAAAGCCACGGCUAACUACGUG
rnacentral:rRNA from 1 species